rnacentral:rRNA from 1 species
AUUGAACGCUGGCGGCAGGCCUAACACAUGCAAGUCGAGCGCGCGGCGGACGGGGGAGUAAUGUCUGGGAAACUGCCUGAUGGAGGGGGAUAACCACUGGAAACGGUAGCUAAUCCCGCCUACCCUCAGAGUUGCCCAGAUGGGAUUAGCCAGUGGGUGGGGUAACGGCCUACCUAGGCGACGAUCCCUAGCUGGUCUGAGAGGAUGACCAGCCACACUGGAACUGAGACACGGUCCAGACUCCUACGGGAGGCAGCAGUGGGGAAUAUUGCACAAUGGGCGCAAGCCUGAUGCAGCCAUGCCGCGUGUGUGAAGAAGGCCUUCGGGUUGUAAAGCACUUUCAGCGGGGAGGCGUUACCCGCAGAAGAAGCACCGGCUAACUCCGUGCCAGCAGCCGCGGUAAUUC